rnacentral:tRNA from 1 species
CCAUAAGUAGCUUAACAAUAAAGCCUCAGCCUCUUGAUCUGAAGAUGGGUUAAACAACCCCUUAAGGA